rnacentral:rRNA from 1 species
GAUGAACGCUGGCGGCGUGCCUAAUACAUGCAAGUCGAGCGAACGGACGAGAAGCUUGCUUCUCUGAGGUUAGCGGCGGACGGGUGAGUAACACGUGGAUAACCUACCUAUUUUACUGGGAUAACUACGGGAGACCGGAGCUAAUACCAGAGGAUAUUUUGAACCGCAUGGUUCAAAGGUGAAUGACGGUUUUGCUGUCACUUUUAGAUGGUUCCGCGUUGUAUUAGCUAGUUGGUAAGGUAACGGCCCACCAAGGCAACGAUGCAUAGCCGACCUGAGAGGGUGAUCGGCCACACUGGAACUGAGACACGGUCCAGACUCCUACGGGAGGCAGCAGUGGGGAAUCUUCCGCAAUGGGCGCAAGCCUGACGGAGCAACGCCGCGUGAGUGAAGAAGGUCUUCGGAUCGUAAAACUCUGUUAUUAGGGAAGAACAUAUGCGUAAUUAACUGUGGACAUCUUGACGGUACCUAAUCAGAAAGCCACGGCUAACUACGUG